rnacentral:rRNA from 1 species
UACGUAGGGGGCAAGCGUUGUCCGGAAUUAUUGGGCGUAAAGCGCGCGCAGGCGGUUCGUUAAGUCUGAUGGUAAAGCCCGGGGCUCAACCCCGGUAUUCAUUGGAGACUGGCGGACUGGAGUGCAGGAGAGGGAAGCGGAAUUCCCGGUGUAGAGGUGAAAUUCGUAGAUAUCGGGAGGAACACCAGUGGCGAAGGCGGCGAUCUGGGAAGAUACUGACGCUGAGGUGCGAAAGCGUGGGGAGCAAACAGG